rnacentral:rRNA from 1 species
CAGGGUUUGAUCCUGGCUCAGGAUGAACGCUGGCGGCGUGCCUAAUACAUGCAAGUCGAGCGAACGGACGAGAAGCUUGCUUCUCUGAUGUUAGCGGCGGACGGGUGAGUAACACGUGGAUAACCUACCUAUAAGACUGGGAUAACUUCGGGAAACCGGAGCUAAUACCGGAUAAUAUUUUGAACCGCAUGGUUCAAAAGUGAAAGACGGUCUUGCUGUCACUUAUAGAUGGAUCCGCGCUGCAUUAGCUAGUUGGUAAGGUAACGGCUUACCAAGGCAACGAUGCAUAGCCGACCUGAGAGGGUGAUCGGCCACACUGGAACUGAGACACGGUCCAGACUCCUACGGGAGGCAGCAGUAGGGAAUCUUCCGCAAUGGGCGAAAGCCUGACGGAGCAACGCCGCGUGAGUGAUGAAGGUCUUCGGAUCGUAAAACUCUGUUAUUAGGGAAGAACAUAUGUGUAAGUAACUGUGCACAUCUUGACGGUACCUAAUCAGAAAGCCACGGCUAACUACGUGCCAGCAGCCGCGGUAAUACGUAGGUGGCAAGCGUUAUCCGGAAUUAUUGGGCGUAAAGCGCGCGUAGGCGGUUUUUUAAGUCUGAUGUGAAAGCCCACGGCUCAACCGUGGAGGGUCAUUGGAAACUGGAAAACUUGAGUGCAGAAGAGGAAAGUGGAAUUCCAUGUGUAGCGGUGAAAUGCGCAGAGAUAUGGAGGAACACCAGUGGCGAAGGCGACUUUCUGGUCUGUAAC